rnacentral:rRNA from 1 species
UACGGAGGGGGCUAGCGUUGUCCGAAGUACUGGGCGUAAAGCGCGCGUAGGCGGGUUGGUAAGUCCGCUGUGGAAAGCCCGGAGCUAAACUCCGGAGGGUCGGUGGAUACUGCCAGUCUUGAAGGUGCUAGGGGGAGAUGGGAAUUACCGGUGGUAGCGGUGAAAAUGCGUAGAGUAUCGGUAGGAACACCAGUGGCGAAGGCGGGUCUCC